CCUACGGGAGGCAGCAGUGAGGAAUAUUGGUCAAUGGACGAGAGUCUGAACCAGCCAAGUAGCGUGAAGGAUGACUGCCCUGUGGGUUGUAAACUUCUUUUAUCUGGGAAUAAAAUGUUCCACGUGUGGGAUGUUGUAUGUACCAUAUGAAUAAGGAUCGGCUAACUCCGUGCCAGCAGCCGCGGUAAUACGGAGGAUCCGAGCGUUAUCCGGAUUUAUUGGGUUUAAAGGGAGCGUAGGUGGAUUGUUAAGUCAGUUGUGAAAGUUUGCGGCUCAACCGUAAAAUUGCAGUUGAAACUGGCAGUCUUGAGUACAGUCGAGGAGGGCGGAAUUCAUGGUGUAGCGGUGAAAUGCUUAGAUAUCACGAAGAACUCCGAUUGCGAAGGCAGCUCACUGGACUGCAACUGACACUGAGGCUCGAAAGUGUGGGUAUCAAACAGGAUUAGAUACCCCAGUAGUC
rnacentral:rRNA from 1 species